rnacentral:rRNA from 1 species
UACAGAGGGUGCAAGCGUUGUUCGGAAUCAUUGGGCGUAAAGGGCGUGUAGGCGGUUUUGUUAAGUCAUGUGUGAAAUCCCUCGGCUCAACCGGGGAACGACGGCAUGAAACUGGCAAGCUAGAGUACCAAAGAGGGCGGUGGAAUUCCCGGUGUAGCGGUGAAAAUGCGUAGAUAUCGGGGAGGAACACCUGUGGCGAAGGCGGCCGCCUGGUCCCAGCACCGACGUCAGGCACGAAAGCGUGGGGAGCAAACAGG